rnacentral:rRNA from 1 species
UCCUACGGGGCGCAGCAGUGGGGAAUAUUGCACAAUGGGGGAAACCCUGAUGCAGCGACGCCGCGUGAAGGAAGAAGUAUCUCGGUAUGUAAACUUCUAUCGGCAGGGAAGAAAACGGACGGUACCUGACUAAGAAGCCCCGGCUAACUACGUGCCAGCAGCCGCGGUAAUACGUAGGGGGCAAGCGUUAUCCGGAUUUACUGGGUGUAAAGGGAGCGUAGACGGUGAUGCAAGUCCGAAGUGAAAGCCCGGGGCUCAACUCCGGGACUGCUUUUGAAACUGUGUGACUGGAGUGGA